UCAAACCUGAGUCUACAGAGCAUUAACCAACAGCCCUGACCGCUGCACCACCAAGACACUAACCAGAUAAUUUUUGGAGGUCAUACUUGACUUUACCAUUCACAUGAUAGAGAAAUAAGAUGUAUCCAUUACUGUACCUCUUGAACCCUGGUUCGGAGCAGGGCACCUGAACAUAAAUUGUGUCUGAAAGCUCAUCAAUCUUAAUAGCCGUGCGUGCGGGAACUCGAACCUGCACCUGCAGAGUGUUAACCCACAGCCCUUACCGCCACACCACCAAGACACUGAUUAGGAUGUUUUGGAGGUUAUACUUGUCUUUACAAUUCACACAGUCUAGAAAUAAGAAGUAUCCAUUAAGGUGCUUCCUCCAUCAGGGGACUCAAACCCUGGGUCUAAGCGGUGAACAGAAUCUAGGCUCAGCAAGAAAGGAUGAGCAAAUUCUUAAUCCCUGUGAGCUGGGACUCGAACCUGCGUCUGAGUUUUGAUGAUUUGACGAUUUUGUUGAUGGCAGUUAGACUUGACUUUACAACUCACAUGAUAUAGAAAAAAACAUUAGAGAGCAUUAGUUGGACUUGAACCCUGGUCUCAGGAGUGUCUGCCAACUGCUCCACAUCCCCAUGGAGGUUAUGAUCAUAUUUUGGUCGAAGGCUAUAUCAGUUCAAUAGAAAUAUCAUUACAGACUUAUUAGACUUACUUGACUUACCCUUUAGUUAAUUAACAUACAGUAAACAGGCAUUGAACAGGAAUUGAACCCUGGUCUCCAGAGUGCUAUCCAACAGUGCUCUCCACUGCACCACUGUUCAGAUGUUUGUUUCAAGACUCAGUAAGAUAGAGCAAGCAUACUAUAAUUCUGCAAAUCAUUAGAUGGGGCUGUCGAAAGCAAAUGCUAACCCGGGGAAUUCCCCUUCUUGACGCACAACGAUGAAUUUGGGAUUAAACAAAUCGUCUCAAUCUGGGUAAAACAGGCAAAUUUUCAUAUACCUCUGCGUAUCCCUUUAAAUUCCUUUGAAGGUCUAGGAAGGCCUAUAUUUUAUCUCCAGCCAUUUCACAUCAAGUGCGCUGUGAAUGAAAUUCCGCAGACAUUCUAGAUCAUAUAAAACAAUGACAGAAAUCCUAUUUGAACUGGUCUUUCAUUAUAAACAUCACAUCGCCCAGAAACGGUAGCAAAAUGGAAAGUGGAAAAACAUCUUUGAUAUCACAGGGAAAUACAUUUUUCUACUUCAAUGCAUAUCUGGUUCAUAGAUUUGUGGUUUGAGGGAUUAUCCUAGGUGUCAUCCAAAUCAUUGGCUUCCAUCCAACUUUAUCGGAUUCGCAAUUGACUCCGACUGAUCUCUUCGGUUUUACAGUAGGCACAGAAAUCUAAAAUAAGAUUGAUCUCAUUCGUAACAAAUGUACUGUUUCAUGUCCUGUUGAAGACUUCCAUCAUUGGUUCGACCCGUUGUUAAAUUCAUCAGACUUAUCCCGUUCACCGGUUCGUCAGGGCCCAUGAGAUUGGUCUCGAUAAUGUUGUGUCCUUUCCUCUGUUUCUACGGUUGUUGAAUUCGGCGGAACGGCUUUACAUCUGAAUAGUAAUAUGAGAAAAGAAGCUCAGGUUAUGCAAAGGACUACAAUGACGAGCAUCAAAACAGACUACAGAGGCAAAAGCCCGGCAGAAGGUUCCCACACUUCAUGGAGGAGGCCAAACAAAUGGCGGCUGAACUACUUCCACCAGUCUUCAGACUGAAACGAAAAAGAGAAUGAGUUGGAGCUGAUGGCAGUCAGCAUGAAGAAGCUAUAUCUUUAAGCUUCUGUAGAUUAUUUGUUAAAUAAAUUGUGAGGAAACUUUGUUGUG